AUUGAACGCUGGCGGCAUGCCUUACACAUGCAAGUCGAACGGUAACAGGCCGCAAGGUGCUGACGAGUGGCGAACGGGUGAGUAAUGCAUCGGAACGUGCCCAGUCGUGGGGGAUAACGCAGCGAAAGCUGCGCUAAUACCGCAUACGAUCAAUGGAUGAAAGCGGGGGACCGUAAGGCCUCGCGCGAUUGGAGCGGCCG
rnacentral:rRNA from 1 species